UUGUUUAUCUAUAUAGAUUUUGUGCAAAAAAACGACAUCGAGAUUUUUGAAAUGAAAACAAUUUACGUGUUAAUUACAACAAAAACUUUAUCUGUAUAGAUUUUUGAAAAAUCCAGAUAAUUAUCCAGAUUUUACUUUCUCUCGAUAGAAAACAGUACUGCCAAGGUACAUUACACUUAUUAAAUGUCAGAUUCCAAUAAACGACAGCUGCAGUUGACAGAUAUAUGACAAAAAAAAAUUUAAUAUUUAAAAUUGAAUUCAAUUAGGAAUAACAAACAACACAAAUCAAUGAUUCACGUGUUUGCAAGAGUGCGAUAUCUUCCCCAAAAUUAAAGAGAAAAACCUGAAAAGGAGAUGGAAAGAAUUAUUUCACAAAAAUAGAAUUGUGUACUGUGCGCUUGGGUCUUAAUCGUGUCGGUACCUUCAACCCUCACAGCCAAAAUGUAAUGUAAAAUUCUCUUGGAAUGCCCGCUCGUUUGCGAAAACGUCUAUUCUUAGACGAUCAACAUGAAUAAAUGAUAACAAAGCUCUUGUUGUUAAUAAAUUGCCUCAUUAGAAUGCUCACCACAAAAACUCUUACAUUUUUAAAAUGAUACACCUCAUGUAUGUGCGCUGCGAAGAAAAGCAAAUACAAACAUACCUCCCGAAAAAUAUUCCCCCAGGAAACACUUUUCAUCCCAAACAGCAUAAAAAGCAACAAGCAAGACAAUCCUAACAUUGCAUUAUGCAGCUCAUUCAACACCCAAAAAUC